rnacentral:rRNA from 1 species
GACAGAGGUGGCAAGCGUUGCUCGGAGUUACUGGGCUUAAAGGGCGCGUAGGCGGUCGUGCACGUCGGUGGUGAAAUCCCCGGGCUCAACCCGGGAACUGCCUUCGAUACGGCGCGACUCGAGUGUGGGAGGGGAGAGUGGAACUCCUGGUGGAGCGGUGAAAUGCGUAGAUAUCAGGAGGAACGCCGGUGGCGAAAGCGACUCUCUGGACCACAACUGACGCUGAGGCGCGAAAGCCAGGGGAGCAAACGGG